UGCCAGAAGAGAGCAGAGGGAGAAAAAGAAGGAGAAAACGACCUGCCAGUCUACCUGUGGCCCUAGAUUGAAAAAUCCUGAUAUCUUCCCUUAAGAACAGAAGAAGUAUAGAAACCUGUAGGUUCUGGAUAAAGUGGGAAGAGAUGGACAUCUCUUGCCUGACAAAGGGAAGCUCUCAAGAGCUUGCAAUGACCAGCAUGGAAAUAUUUCAGAUGGAAGCAGACAGGGAUGCAUGGUAUCACCAUGACAUUGUACAGUAUUCUGGAAAAUCA